AUUUCUGUGCCACAGAGUAAUGACAUUUAAUCAGGAAUAUUACUACACUCUUUCAGUGACAGCUGAGACACAAAACCAGCCAGCUGAUGCAAUCCUGUCCCACCGCUGGGGGCAUAUAAACAGCCCCACAAACAAGAAAGCAGUCUUACCUCCUCUAUAGCAUCAGAGGAUUCUUUAAGGAAAUAAGGCCUGCAGACACUGAAACUGGAAUCACCUAGCCUCCUUCAGCCUUCUAGAACCAUCUAAUAGUUUCUAAGAAUCUUUCCAGCCACGGGAGGAUUAAGGAAGAGACUGUUCUAGAACCUGAGAACAAUGAGAGUGUAGUCACCAGGUGUGAGGCAACAUAAAGCCUGCAGAAUACAACUGCUACAGCUCCUGUUUGGGUAGAUCGAUGGCCUAUAAUUACCUGGGAAUUACUUGGACACAAAUCAAUGGUGUAUUACGUCCCAUUCAUAAUGAGCAUGGUAACUUUUGCCUAGUCUGGGAACAUCAUGAUACAGUUUUCCCAGCUGCUUACUCUUCCUUCGGCUGUCUGCUCAAAUUGCAUGCAGUCCAACUAAGAAAGGCUGGGGACAGGGGAGAGGGACUUCAGGAAUCAGGGUGUGCAAUCCCACUCUAAAACUGCUUUUAUUGCAGACAUUGCAAGGUCUUCACUCAACCCUGAUCUGGACCAAGAUUGACAUCUCUGAGAUAAAAGGCUCCGGGUUCCAUUAGAUGUCAUCUGCUUGGCUGGCCUACUCCUUAGGCCACGCCCCAUGGGAUCUAGCCACGUUUUGAUGACAUCCAUCAAGUUCAGGAUUCCAGCUCAACAGUUUGCAGCAAUUUCUCUAUCUUGUAAUUCUCAUGGAAAGUGAGGGUUGGGGGUGGGGAGGAAAAGAAGAAGACAGGCAAGGGGUAGGGAGGAUUGCUUCACACAUCUGAUCAAACACUCAGCGCCCAGCCCUAUCACUCAGCUGCCACCAACACACCACUCUACUCUAUAAUACUUCUUAAAAAUAAAGGAACAGAGCCAGAGCCCUGCUGGAUCUCCCUUAGCAACCUGACAGGAGCCCACAAGGUCAGCUAGCAGGAAGCGGAGAAAAUUAUACAGUGGGGAAUUAUCAGCUAAAUUAUUUCACUGUACGCAGGACUUUUACUGUUCUUCCCAAGACGGUGGCUUCUUGCUACCCAGAUUACAAGUAUGAAUCAAAGGACAAGAAUGACAAAAGGAGGGAAGCAGAAAGAUUACUCUGAAGAACUACAGGUAUCAUCGGCACUCAGGCAUCAUCAGAAAUGUCGAAUCUCAAGCAGAGAGUCCUGACACCAAUUCUAUUAACCAAAACUGGAACGUGUGUUUACUGGCUGCUGCCUCCUGUGAAUUCACACCAUGCGCUUGAAGACAAUGGAACAUAUUAAAGGCAUCUGUUUGUGUAGCAUCUCAAAAAAAGGUAUCACGUCAGAGACUGCAGUCCAUCAUUAAAGAAUCUGUGAUGAAAA
rnacentral:sRNA from 1 species